UACAGAGGGUGCGAGCGUUAAUCGGAAUUACUGGGCGUAAAGGGUGCGUAGGUGGUUAGAUAAGUUGGAUGUGAAAUACCUGGGCUCAACCUGGGAACGGCAUACAAUACUGUCUAGCUAGAGUCAUGUAGAGGAAGGCGGAAUUUCCGGUGUAGCGGUGAAAUGCGUAGAUAUCGGAAGGAACACCAGUGGCGAAGGCGGCCUUCUGGACAAUGACUGACACUGAGGCACGAAAGCAUGGGGAGCAAACAGG
rnacentral:rRNA from 1 species